GGCGCCCAGGGGCGGGGCCUGCGGGCCGCGGGAUCACGUGGCCGGCGGGGGCGGGGCUCCCGCCAGAGCCUUGCGGGCCCGCCCCUUCCAGGUACAGAGCUCCUUCGCUGGGGGUGCUUUGAGGGACAGACCCCCUCGAGACAACUGAGCAAAAUCAGCACCGUGAUUUUGAGAAGAAGCAGAGGAAGUCUCAAGCUACACUGAAGGGUACACUGAGGUCAGAGGUCAGUCAAGACUUCAGAGCUCAUCAUGGCUGAAGCCUGCAGGGCUCUGGAGUUUUCACCCAGGACUUAGCAGCUGGGGGUGCCUUGUGACCUCUUUCCCUGAUUUCAAAGUCAAUAAAUCCAUGCAAAUAUGCCUCGCAUUCAAUGUAAAAAAUAGCUAUGUGAUAAGUAAGCAAAUGUCUCAAUGGGUAAAUGUAUAAAAUUAUAUGGAAAAUAUUUUUAAAUAAUUCUAGAAAAAAUACCAUAGUAUGUUGCUACAACUCAGAGAAAAUCCAUGCUGUUUUGGAAAUCAAAAUUCCUGAGCAGAAUUAAACUAGUGUUUGCAAAGUGAUCAUAUAAAAUAACUUAUUUUUUUUUCUCUAAAUCUCCAGUUUUGGUAUAUGUACUGCUGAAGAUAGGACCCAACUGCGUACUUACAGUUGACCUAAAAGAUCGCGUACAUAUCCUGCUGCACGGGGCUACAUGACUGAGACUGUUCUAAAAUUACAGAUUAAGAGUUCAUGUUAGUGAAGGGAGUCAGUUGAUAAACACGUAGAAGGCAAUAAACACCUCAGCUCAUAACCCCAGCAGUCUUUUGCUUAGAGCUUCUGUGAGGGCAGGCAGCCUGGCCUUCUUAUUCAGGCUCUACAAAAACUUGAUUGUAACUUGGUAGGUGGAACAUGCCUGAAAUCUCAAAACUUGGGAGCACUUAGUGGAAGGAUUUUGUAUUGUAAUCUGUGCUGCAUAGCAAAAAAAUAGCUCAAAAAACAAUCAACCAGAUAUAAGACCAUCUCAAAAUAAUAUAAAAAACAAAACCUGUGUUUAACAUAGUAUCUUGCUAAACUUUGCAGGCUAGCUUCCAGAAUAGCUGGGGGUUUUAGAUAUGUGCCACUGGGCAAGGCCUACAAGAAAACUUUGAUCAUGCAACUAUUUUAUGCUAGAAAAAUAUGAAAUACUUCAUAUUUAUCUUUUAAUCUUAAAUAAAAUAUAAGGGGAGGAAAUUUUUUAAAUGUAUUAUUUACUAUAUAUAUUUUAAAGAUAUUAUUUUUUAAAAAGGAAGGGAAGCUUACCUUGACCUUCUGGCUUUCUCUUUGGGCAUUCUAAUUAAAUCUUCCAAAUGUCUAUUUCUCUCUUCCAAACUGAGGGAAGAAACAAUUGCAUUUUUACACAAAAAUGGACUUUUCAAGAUGAAUAUUUUGUAACUUCUCUGGAGGCUGUCUCAGUCACUGUCCUAUUGCUGUGAAGACACACCAUGACCAUGGCAACUCUUACAAAGACAGGAUUUCUCGGGUUGCUCUGGAUGUACUGGAACUCCAUCUGCAGACCAGGUUGGCCUUGAACUCAAAGAUCCGCAGGCCUCCCAAGUGCUGGGAUUAAAAACGCACCACCGCUCUGGGCUGCAGAUGAUUCUUGAAGUGUAAGGUGAGGCAGCCCCACCUGGAGAAGGCUGGCUCACACCUCUGCCCCUGGAAGGUCCAUGCCCCGUGUACUGCAGCAGUGCCAAGGGCAGUUCGUAGGAGCUGGCACGUUUGCCCACAGCUGUCCCCACCACAGCGGUGAGGUUUCUCACCUGUGUGGGUUUGCAAGCAUGUCUUGAGAUGCCUAGGAUGCUGUUCUUUCCCUCUCCCCACUCUGGUUAGGGGGCUUCUGGAGCGGUAAGGCUUCUCACCUGUGUGUGUUUGCAAGCAUGCCUUGAGAUGCCUAGGGUGCUGUUCUUUCCCACUCCCCACUCUGUUAGGGGGCUUCUGGCAGUGUCAUGAGCAAGGGGCUCAUUCAUGGUGGGGGAGCUCCGGAGCGGGUGAUGCCCUUGCAGGGGUAGCUGUGGGAUGGUACUCUGGGGUAACAGCCAGUAGUUCCUCUCCACCCUGUGGAAUUAUUCCCGCUAUGAAGCCGUAGCUGCAAGGGGAAGUCUUGUGCGCCGCUCCCCGUGGCUGAGCUGUGGUCCAGCUUCACACUGGGCCCAUUGGGGCCCGCCAACCAUGCAAAAGGACACUGUAAUGCUUAAUUCUGGGGCACAGCGUGGCCUUUGGCAAGGCUGAUGACCCACUGACCGCCAUGUUCGCUAUCGGGGCUCUCAGCUACUCAGCACCAAGUUGCCCCUCAACCGCCCAGGAGCUGCUGAGUGGUGGCUCUCUGGAGGAGGGGCCGUGGGGGUGGUGCCGACAAGCCCCUGUCUGCAGGAGGAACAACUUCGGACCCUGCAGGCAUGGGGCACUGGCAGGGUGGUACUCCACCUGGAAGAGGAGGAUGGAGCUGAGGCUGGUGGGGACCAUUGAUUGCUGACGGGAUAGGCAGUUGGAGAGAAUCAAGUCUUUGAACUCCUGGGUCUCCUUCGGGGUGGGCGGCCUGGUCAUCACUAGCUCUCUCUCCAGGGCUGGGACAACAGUGGCUUCUUGUGAGGGAGCUCUUCCUGUGACUGGUAGAGGUAAGGUGA